ACUUCCUCCUCCCUCCUCCCCGGGGCUCCCGGGGCUUCUCCGGGACGAGGAUUCCGGGUGGGGGUGGGGACCCCGCGCGGCUCCGCCUCCGCCAGGCCCGGGGCCGCCGGCCGACGCUCGGUCUCGGAGGUGCUCGCCGCUGCCCCCAGCCAGGAGCCUGCGCGCCCCCUCCCCGGCGGUCCCACCCCCUUUCCUCCGCCCCGUCCCGUCCAGGCACCGCCCCUGACUUAACCCUUGCCCGGCGGGUCCGGCGGGCGAAGCGCAGGGAAUUGACAGGGAGAGGCGGGCUGUGGCGGGCGAGUGGGGGGAGCCUGGGAAGGGGGAGGAGAGAAGCGGGGACGGAAUGGGGAAAGGCUACAGAGGAGUACGCGGAGGACGGACGGAGGCAGGGUACGCGGAGAGGUGGGGGCUGGCGCUGAGGCAGGAACGGAAGAGGGGCGGGAGUCUACCCCAUCCCAGUUCCGGCUCCCGGCCUCCCAGUGAUUCGGUCAGUCCCCGGCCCGGCGCUGGAAGGGGAAAGGUGACGGGGCGGGGAGGAGGGGGUGGUCCCGGUGUCCUCCCCCUAACACACCCCCCACCCAGCCCGGGCCUCAUUUGCCUAAUGUAAUGCGGCUGAACUCUCGCUGAACUCGCCUGGCGGCGCCUCACCUCCGGGUGACCCACCCACCGCUGCCCGUGACAUCACCCGCUUGCCAGCCCGCUCGCGGGGCUCGCCCACCGGCCCCCGGCCCCCUCAGGCCAGGCCAGCGUCCCUGGAGCCUCAGAGAGUGGCCGCAGGAGGCGAGGGACCAGGGCGCGCGUGGCCAAGUGUUAGCGCCACGAAUGCAACGUGCAGCGUGUGCCCAGUGUCCCGGGUGUGACAUUGUGCAGCUCAGGCGUAGUGUCGGGAUGAGACACCGGCUUGUGUCAUUGUCUGUGACAUCAUGUGUGACUCCGGCCGCCCGCCCGCCGGAACCCGACGCGGCAGCGCGUCUGCUUUGGCAUAAACGCUUGCAGAAGGGGCUCUCCUCCCCACGCUCUGCGUGCUUCCGGCGAGCAAAGCCCCGCCCAAGGUGUCUCCCAGCGGCGGAACCAGGAUUGGCCCCCCACCGCGCAAUCCAGCUCCGGAGAGAUAAGAGGAGGGGCUGGUGCCUUCCAGCUGACCACUUCCUCCCGGAAGCCCUCGAGAUGCCAGUUUCAGUGGAAGAAAGGUCUAGGUUGGGUAGAUGCUACCCCCUAAAGGGUAGUCAUAGCCUGCACUGGCACAUCCCUGUGGGCACAUGGCCCUUGGCAUGGGGUGGACCCAAUGUCUCAGGUCCUGCCAGCCCAAGAGGAAGACAGGCUUCCUUCCCUGAGUCCUGCCUGAGGGAGCUCAUGCAUUAUCACUGCUACCAGAUAAAAGGUGAGGGGCCCCAUUUUCAUUCAAAAUCCCAUCCAACAAUCUUUGGCUGACUCUGCAUUUUGGACCUCUGGAAAGGCACUGCUAGCAAUACCCUCUCUCCCUGGGCUGUCUCUCUUAUUGUCCAGGGAAAGAGUGGACGGAAGGGAGGGUGGGAGGAAGAGACUAAAGGAAGGGAGUGGCAGAAGAAAGGAAGAGGGGCUCACUCCCUCCUUGGUCUCCCCAGUCUCCAGGCACACACACUAGGAAUAUGUGGACGGAAAGGAAAAGUCUGGAGCCAGUCUUUUGGGGUUCCCAUCUCUAGCUUCUCUACUGAUUGCUUCCAACUUCCCUGCCCCCACCCCACAAAUUGAAACAAAAUAAGAAUAACAACUGUGGCUUUUA